GAUGAACGCUGGCGGCGUGCCUAAUACAUGCAAGUCGAGCGAACGGACGAGAAGCUUGCUUCUCUGAUGUUAGCGGCGGACGGGUGAGUAACACGUGGAUAACCUACCUAUAAGACUGGGAUAACUUCGGGGAACCGGAGCUAAUACCGGAUAAUAUUUUGAACCGCAUGGUUCAAAAGUGAAAGACGGUCUUGCUGUCACUUAUAGAUGGAUCCGCGCUGCAUUAGCUAGUUGGUAAGGUAACGGCUUACCAAGGCAACGAUGCAUAGCCGACCUGAGAGGGUGGUCGGCGACACUGGAACUGAGACACGGUCCAGACUCCUACGGGAGGCAGCAGUAGGGAAUCUUCCGCAAUGGGCGAAAGCCUGACGGAGCAACGCCGCGUGAGUGAUGAAGGUCUUCGGAUCGUAAAACUCUGUUAUUAGGGAAGAACAUAUGUGUAAGUAACUGUGCACAUCUUGACGGUACCUAAUCAGAAAGCCACGGCUAACUACGUG
rnacentral:rRNA from 1 species